rnacentral:rRNA from 1 species
UACAGAGGGGGCAAGCGUUGUUCGGAAUUACUGGGCGUAAAGGGCGCGUAGGCGGCCUACUAAGUCGAACGUGAAAUCCCCAGGCUUAACCUGGGAACUGCGUCGGAUACUGGAUGGCUUGAAUUCGGGAGAGGGAUGCAGAAUUCCAGGUGUAGCGGUGAAAUGCGUAGAUAUCUGGAGGAAUACCGGUGGCGAAGGCGGCAUCCUGGACCGACAUUGACGCUGAUGAGCGAAAGCUAGGGGAGCAAACGGG